rnacentral:rRNA from 1 species
GACGAACGCUGGCGGCGUGCUUAACACAUGCAAGUCGAACGAUGAAGAAAAGAAUUGAAGCUUCGGCAGAUAUCCACUUCGGAUUAGUGGCAGACGGGAGAGUAACGCGUGAGCAACCUACCAAUUACAAAGGGAUAGCCCCGGGAAACCGGGAUUAAUACCAUAUAACAUUUCGACGAUGCAUUUCGAUGCAAUCAAAGCUACGGCGGGAAGGGAUGGGCCCGCGUCGCAUUAACCAGAUGGUGAGGUAACGGCUCACCAUAGUAAGGAUGGGUAACCGGGAUGAGAGAGUGAACCGUCACUCUGGAACGGAGAAACGGUACAGACUCCUACGGGAGGGAGCAGAGGGGAAUAGAGCAAAAGGGAGGGAACGCUGAUGGAGCUACGCCGCGAGAGUGAUGAAGUAAGGGGUUACGUAAAACGCUAUUCUAUGGGAAGAAAAUGACGGUACCAUAGGAGAAAGCUCCGGCUAAAUACGUG